rnacentral:rRNA from 1 species
CCAAGAGAAUCGUUAAGCAUCCCACCUGGGAGUACGCCGGCAACGGUGAAACUCAAAGGAAUUGACGGGGCCCGCACAAGCGGAGGAACAUGUGGUUAAUUCGAUGAUACGCGAGGAACCUUACCCGGGCUUGAACUGCCAGCGAACGAUUCAGAGAUGAUGAGGUCCUUCGGGACGCUGGUGGAGGUGCUGCAUGGUUGUCGUCAGCUCGUGCCGUGAGGUGUCGGCUUAAGUGCCAUAACGAGCGCAACCCUUUUCUUUAGUUGCCAUCAGGUAAUGCUGGGCACUCUGGAGAUACUGCCACCGUAAGGUGUGAGGAAGGUGGGGAUGACGUCAAAUCAGCACGGCCCUUACGUCCGGGGCUACACACGUGUUACAAUGGGGGGUACAGAGAGUCGGAUCAACGCAAGUUGGUUCUAAUCCUAAAAGCCUUCCUCAGUUCGGAUUGGGGUCUGCAACCCGACCCCAUGAAGCUGGAUUCGCUAGUAAUCGCGCAUCAGCCAUGGCGCGGUGAAUACGUUCCCGGGCCUUGUACACACCGCCCGUCAAGCCAUGAAAGCCGGGGGCGCUUGAAGUCCGUGACCGCAAGGAUCGGCCUAGAGCGAAACUGGUAAUUGGGGCU